AUCCCCUAUGGGGUUGACCAGAGUGACAUUCCCUCACAUCAUUCAUUUUGUUUUUAUAAUGUGGAAAACCCCCCAACAAAUCUUACUUAGAUGGAAGAGAAGGAAACCCAGAAAUUAAUAGUUUGACUUUAAACACUUUUUGACUCAUUUCCCUUCUGUUUCUCACGAAAUUAUCGUAUCUUGAGCCCUCCUUUACAUUAUUGACGUUUCUUUUACAAUCCGGAAAAAUCAGUAUGACGAGAUAUUCUAAAUAUAUCCAACCUAUAUUGUAUUUUAUAGUGACGUCAUUCUUGGAAUGCCACACUACGCAGAAGCAGGGAUAUCCUUCACUGGUUAUUUAAAUCAUUCUCAGAGAUCGUGCACUAAUUACACAUUGGUAUUUGUUCAAUUUAAACAUAAUAUUGUUUGCUGUAGAUGAUUCAAACAUCAACAUGCAAUACUUUAAUUUGUAGGUCAACUGUUGAACAACUUUCAAAGUAAACAAAGAUCGUGGGGUUACAUGAGAUAGGGGAG
rnacentral:lncRNA from 1 species